rnacentral:rRNA from 1 species
UACGGAGGGUGCAAGCGUUAUCCGGAUUCACUGGGUUUAAAGGGUGUGUAGGCGGACUUUUAAGUCCGUGGUGAAAUCUCCAGGCUUAACCUGGAAACUGCCAUGGAUACUAUUGGUCUUGAAUGCUGUUGAGGUGGGCGGAAUACAUCAUGUAGCGGUGAAAUGCUUAGAUAUGAUGUAGAACACCGAUUGCGAAGGCAGCUCACUAAGCAGAUAUUGACGCUGAGGCACGAAAGCGUGGGGAUCAAACAGG